rnacentral:rRNA from 1 species
AUGCAAGACAAUGAUGGAAACACUGCACUGCACUUGGCUAUCCAAGCACGGAACUUUAGGAUAUUCUGUGCUCUAUUUGGGAAUCCAGAGGUGAAUCUAAAUAUAACAAAUAACCAGGGGCAAACUCCCUUGGAUCUAUCCAUCAGUAAGCUUUCAUACGGAAUGAAUUAUAUAGAGAACUCUGAGAAUAAAAUAUACCAUGCCUUGUUGUCUGUUGGAGCAAACUAUGGUGUUGUUUGCUGGGAUAAGGCUGAGGAACCGUUCAGUCGGCAUCCAAAGCCAGAGGAGGAGGACAAAGAAUCACAGAGGCUGAAAAAUGCAGCACAAAUGUCUGUCGUUGGUUCUGUCCUAAUAGCAACUGUUGCGUUCAGUGCAACUUUUGCCAUCCCUGGAGGUUAUAGAGCUGAUGGUCAUACCAAUGAAGGCACACCAACAUAUGCCGGGAGUUAUCUUUUUGACGCGUUCAUGAUAGCCACCACAAUAGCUUUCAUAUGCUCUUCUCUAGCUACCAUUGGCUUCACGUUUUCUGCAAGUCCCUUUGUUAACAUGGUCACCCGCGAUAGGCCGCGAAGUCUACUUAGUCUUAUCCGUGCUUUCCUUCUCGAGUUCAUUCGUAAGCAUGUCUAUUGCAUUUGCACUGGGUGUGUAUAUGGUGCUAGCUCCAGUUGCUCGUAA